UACGUAGGGGGCAAGCGUUAUCCGGAUUUACUGGGUGUAAAGGGAGCGUAGGUGGUGUGGCAAGUCUGAUGUGAAAGCCCGGGGCUCAACCCCGGGACUGCAUUGGAAACUGUCACACUUGAGUGCUGGAGAGGCAAGUGGAAUUCCUAGUGUAGCGGUGAAAUGCGUAGAUAUUAGGAGGAACACCAGUGGCGAAGGCGGCUUGCUGGACAGUGACUGACACUGAGGCUCGAAAGCGUGGGGAGCAAACAGG
rnacentral:rRNA from 1 species